GUGCUUGUUUCAGCAGCACAUAUACUAAAAUUGGAAUGAUACAGAGAAGAUAAGUGUGGCUCCUGCACAAGGAUGACAUGCAAAUUCAUGAAGCAUUCCAUAUUUAA